rnacentral:rRNA from 1 species
ACUCCUACGGGAGGCAGCAGUGAGGAAUAUUGGACAAUGGGUGAGAGCCUGAUCCAGCCAUCCCGCGUGAAGGACGACGGCCCUAUGGGUUGUAAACUUCUUUUGUAUAGGGAUAAACCUUUCCACGUGUGGAAAGCUGAAGGUACUAUACGAAUAAGCACCGGCUAACUCCGUGCCAGCAGCCGCGGUAAUACGGAGGGUGCAAGCGUUAUCCGGAUUUAUUGGGUUUAAAGGGUCCGUAGGCGGAUCUGUAAGUCAGUGGUGAAAUCUCACAGCUUAACUGUGAAACUGCCAUUGAUACUGCAGGUCUUGAGUAAGGUAGAAGUAGCUGGAAUAAGUAGUGUAGCGGUGAAAUGCAUAGAUAUUACUUAGAACACCAAUUGCGAAGGCAGGUUACUAUGUCUUAACUGACGCUGAUGGACGAAAGCGUGGGGAGCGAACA